rnacentral:rRNA from 1 species
CGAGCACGCGCGUGUGGCAUAUCAAUAAGCGGAGGAAAAGAAACUAACAAGGAUUCCCUUAGUGACGGCGAGUGAAGCGGGAAGAGCUCAAAUUUGAAAUCUUCAAGGUUCUACCUUGACGAAUUGUAGUUUAUAGAAGUGUUUUCUGUUAGUGGAGUGGCAAAAGUUCUUUGGAAUAGGACAUCAUAGAGGGUGAGGAUCCCGUAUUUGGUCAUUCCUCCUAGCGUUGUGAUACACUUUCAACGAGUCGGAUUGUUUGGGAAUGCAGUCCAAAAUGGGUGGUAAAUUUCAUCUAAAGCUAAAUAUUGGCGAGAGACCGAUAGCGAACAAGUACCGUGAGGGAAAGAUGAAAAGAACUUUGAAAAGAGAGUUAAACAGUACGUGAAAUUGUCAAAAGGGAAGCGUUUGACACCAGUGUUGUUUUUCCGAAAAUCAAUUACGAAUGUUUUAGUUUUUGAGGAGUUAUGACUUCAUCGGCUUGCUCCUUUCUUUACUGAAACUUUCUUAAUGCACUUUUCGGUUAACAAGUCAACAUCAAUUUCUUUUGUUGUAAAAGGGUAUGAGGAAGGUGGCUUUCUUUUCGGAGAAAGUGUUUAUAGCCUUGUGCCUCUGCAAUCGGAGAGAUUGAGGUCUGCAGCGUAGAUCCUUCGGGGUUAGAUACAUUUGUGCUAAGUUAUAGCUUGUCAUAGACAACUUGUUGACUAUGUUCAGUCAUUGUAGCUUACUCGCUUACUGCUAUUUUACCUACGCUUAGGAUGUUGAGCGCAUGUCUCUCUCU